rnacentral:rRNA from 1 species
GAUGAACGCUGACAGAAUGCUUAACACAUGCAAGUCUUUGGCGAAUCUGUGCUUGCACAGGCUAGCCAAGGCGGACGGGUGAGUAACGCGUAAAGAACUUGCCCUGCAGACAGGGAUAACAGACGGAAACGACUGAUAACACCUGAUACAGUUGCCGGCACGCAUGUGCCUGGCAAUGAAAAGAGAUGCUGCAGUAGAGCUUUGCGUCCUAUUAGCUUGUUGGUGAGGUGACGGCUCACCAAGGCGAUGAUAGGUAGCCGGCCUGAGAGGGUGAACGGCCACAAGGGGAAUGAGAUACAGCAGUGACGACUACGGGAGGCAGGAGUGGAGAAUAAUGGAGCAAGGGGGCAAGCGUGAUGAAGCUAUUCUGUGUGCACGAAGAAGGUUUUCGGAUUGAAAAGUGGUUUCAGCAGGGAAGAAGAAAGUGACGGUACCUGCAGAAGAAGCGACGGCUAAAUACGUG